rnacentral:rRNA from 1 species
AACGAACGCUGGCGGCAUGCCUAACACAUGCAGGUCGAACGAGACCUUCGGGUCUAGUGGCGCACGUGUGCGUAACGCGUGGGAACCUGCCCUUAGGUUCGGAAUAACUCCCCGAAAGGGGUGCUAAUACCGGAUAAUGUCUUCGGACCAAAGAGUUAUCGCCUUUGGAUGGGCCCGCGUUGGAUUAGCUAGUUGGUAGGGUAAAAGCCUACCAAGGCGACGAUCCAUAGCUGGUGUGAGAGGAUGAUCAGCCAGACUGGGACUGCGACACGGCCCAGACUCCUACGGGAGGCAGCAGUGGGGAAUAUUGGACAAUGGGCGAAAGCCUGAUCCAGCCAUGCCGCGUGAGUGAUGAAGGCCUUAGGGUUGUAAAGCUCUUUUACACGGGAUGAUAAUGACAGUACCGGGAGAAUAAGCUCCGGCUAACUCCGUG